rnacentral:lncRNA from 1 species
CAUUUUAACCUAAACCCUAAACCCAGUAUUAACCUAAGCCCAAACUAACCCCAAACAGCCCAAACAAAAAACAAAUCAAAAAAAAAACCCUAUCCCCCUAGCUCGUUGGCGCCGCAACCACCCCUUGACCGUUUGCCAUGGCCACCUGCUCCACCUGCUCCACCGCCCAUGCCCAUCCCCUGCAAGCAGUAACAAGAAAAGAAAGUAAUAGUAGUGUAAAUGGCUAUAUAAGCCAAAAUCAAAGGGGUUUUUUUUUUUCUUUCUUUCGGCUAGAUCUAUUUGGCCAUUUCUUUAUCAAUGCAAAAAUAGUUUUUGACACACAUACAAGUAGUGAUCAAAAGAAAAUAAAAAAAAACACCAGAAUAACAUCAAAUCGGGUAGCCAAAACGCUAGAGUUACAACAAAAACUUAAGGUGAUUUUAAAUUUAUUUUCGUUUUGUUUAUUUUCUCACACAUACAUAUAUAAAAAAAACACAUAAAAAUAAAUAAAAAAUAAAAAAGGGGUACCUUUUCGAUUGUCCGCGGUGGCCGGCGACAGCGUCCGACAUGGCGGCAAUCGGCUGGUUCCUCGCCGGAUCCUUGACUGGCAGAGAGAAAAGGAG